AUUUCAAUAUAUUUAUUUAAUUUAAAAAUUUAAUUUUUCCUUUAUGUAAAAAGACAUUAAUAAUAUAGAAAGACGAUAAGACCCUAUUGAACUUAACUUUAGUUAAACUGGGGUAGUAAAUUAAUUAUUAUUUUAAUUAAAAUUUUAAUUAAAAUAUCUUCAAAAUUAAAUAAAUCAGUUACCAUAGGGAUAACAGCGUAAUAAAAUUUAUAAGUUCUUAUAUCAAUAAAAGAUUACGACCUCGAUGUUGAAUUAAUAAUCUUUUUUUCGCAAAAGAAAAAAAAGAAAGUCUGUUCGACUUAUAAAUAAUUACAUGAUUUGAGUUCAGACCGGUAUAAGCCAGGUCGGUUUCUAUCUUCUAUAAUUAUACUAUAUAGUACGAAAGGGCCUAUAGUAAUAAUAUUAUUAUUAUAUUAGCAAACAUAUGCAUUAGAAUUAGAAUCUAAUAAACCUCC
rnacentral:rRNA from 1 species